UUGAGGUAUAUCCCCAUGGGGGCCGGGCCCGGUGCACAAUGGCUGCAAACAGCAGCCUCCUCGGUAGUGUAUGCAGCCCUUUGCCUGUAUGGGUUGCCCUAAGGGACCUUGGAGACAGCC
rnacentral:snoRNA from 1 species